AUGAUGCUUCCAAAGUUUUGGACUCAAUCCGAUAUCGAUUGGUCCUUGAAAUCGGACAAUUCAAGUUUCUACAAAAUUCGUUCUGAAAUGGGGUGGUUGCUGUAUUGUAUAGUUCUAGAGAUUGGAUUUCACUCAAAACCCUCCAAAUGACUCCUCCCAGAAUAUUAUGAUGUUCCCCAUGUUUUGGACUCAAUCCGAUAUCGAUUAGUCCUUGAAAUCGGACAAUUCAGGUUCGUACGAAGUUCGUUCUGAAAUGGGGUGGUUGGUGUAUUGUAUAGUUCUAGAGAUUGGAUUUCACUCAAAUCCAAGGAAAUGGCUCCUCCCACAAUAUUAGGAUGUUCCCCAAGUUUUGGACUCAAUCCGAUAUCGAUUAGUCCUUGAAAUCGGACAAUUCAGGUUCGUACGAAGUUCGUUCUGAAAUGGGGUGGUUGGUGUAUUGUAUAGUUCUAGAGAUUGGAUUUCACUCAAAUCCCUCCAAAUGACUCCUCCCAGAAUAUUAUGAUGUUCCCCAAGUUUGGACUCAAUCCGAUAUCGAUUGGUCCUUGAAAAUCGGACAAUUCAAAGUUUCUACAAAAUUCGUUCUGAAAUGGGGUGGUUGGU
rnacentral:lncRNA from 1 species